rnacentral:rRNA from 1 species
CAGAGGGUGCUAGCGUUAAUCGGAUUUACUGGGCGUAAAGCGUGCGUAGGUGGUUUGAUAAGUCGAUUGUGAAAGCCCCGGGCUUAACCUGGGAAUUGCGGUCGAUACUGUCAGACUCGAAAACGGUAGAGGGAGGUGGAACUCCAGGUGUAGCGGUGAAAUGCGUAGAUAUCUGGAAGAACACCGAUGGCGAAGGCAGCCUCCUGGGCCUGUUUUGACACUGAGGCACGAAAGCGUGGGUAGCAAACAGGAUU